UUUCUUCUCUUAUUCUCAGGAGGAUCUUGCACAGAACAGAAAGAAAGAAGAAAGAGACAAGUACCUCAAAAACAGAGAUGAGGAACCACAGUGCUGCCUGUGCCAGACUGCACGUUUGGGGAGAAGGAGGAUAAAUGAGUAAGCACAGACGCAAACCCUUAGAUUGGAAAGGAAAGGUUUCUUGCACAACUGAAAAAACAGAAUGAGGAUACUCUAGACUGGAUACGCAUAAACGUGUGGACACAUGUUGCCUUGCCUUUCUUUUUUUUUUCCCCAGUUGAUAUUCCUAUCCCACAAACAAAUAAUUUUCUUUGAGUAUAGCUGAAUCUUUUUGAAUGGGUGCAUUUUCUGACUCCACUAUUGAAAAGCUGAAUCUCUGUUUUGAAAUUCUUGAGUCAACAUGGAUAUAUCACAGGAAGUUCAAGAGCUGCUUCCACUGUAAUUAAUAAAAUCAAAGCUUUCUGAAAUGUGCUAUUCUCUGUGCAAAUCAUCACACAGAAAAUGGAGAGGAAGUGGCAGCACCAUCUGCCAUGUUGCAAACAGCAUCAAAUAGGGGUGACUGAAGAAAGUGAAAAGCAAUUCAUUUGCUCAUCUCAUCCCACCUCCCCUCCUUCUGCUGGGCAAAGUUGCUGGAUCAAACAAUGCAACUAGAAGAAUUAGUUGAGAGUGAGGUCUUUUCUCACAUGUCUUAUAUUCCUGUACAAAUAUUUGGUGAUUUUAUUUAGACUAGAAUUUGACAUGGUGAAACCAGUGAGAAUGGGCACCUUCCUUGUUAUCUGCUCCCAUUGAACUUCUGUUAUUUUUAAUUAUUGAUGAUAGCCCAGUCCUCUUAAAUUAAUGGAAAAUGACUACUUUUAAUACAGACCUCCUUGGAAUUUUACAUGCAUGAAGUACUAGGAGAAAUUUUGCUAAUGCCUUACAAUACUGGAAGAAAGAAUUAACUGAUCUUGGAAUUCAUUUUCCAGAAGGGAGGCUAUUUAAGGGUACAGGAAUCUUCCCAGGAAUAGCUGGGAAGAUUAUGCAAUUAAGUACACAAGAAAAUCAGGAUCACAUUUCAGGUAGGGCUGAAAUGAGUCCUUGUAUGUCAAAUGUGCAUUUGUACUUGCACGUCUUAAAUGCUAUUAUAUUUUCUUAGGAACCUAAGGCUAUGCAAUUCUUGAUUUUAAUGUGGAUAGCAGGAUUUAUUGCAAGUAAUCUUGAUUAAUACUGAAGAUCAGAUCAAGAGGCAUUUUUAGAAAGGACACUUCUGGCUGCUCUGUUUACAGAUAUUACCAUCAAAACAUUGUUCAGAAUCCUCUUGAGUAGAGAAAUGAUUGUGAGAGAGUGGACAUAAGAAGCAAAAUAAAUGUUGAUCUCAGAUUUGGUUCAAGGCUUCAGAUUCAAGUGAAGGUUUCUGUUGACAUAAGAAAUGAGAACACAGCUAUUUGUAUGGUUUAUGAUGAGCAGUAGAAUGUUAAGGCUGACUGAUAGCCUUGAUGUGAAGCUGGAGGUUUUAAAUUUAAAAUCUGUCAAGGAGAAGGUUAAGGCUUAUGCUUUAUUAGGAGUGAGGACAAAAUGAUACUAGAAAGUAUUGUGUGUACAAAUAUUGAGCCUAUGCUUGUCUGUCCCAUUGAACAUGUUUUUCUGCAUAACUUGCAGAAGUCUAACAUCAUGUGUCAGUUAUUCUUUUCAAUGAAAAAUGGCAUAAAAGUUGUGAGAAAGGAAUUAAAUAGUGUGACAAAGAUCAUCAAUGAGAUUCCAUUAGUUAACAAACUUUUGAAAUUCUUUGUUAACUUUUUCGAGUUACUGUUGUGGAUUUUUUGGUAGUUUUUAAAUUUAGGAUUUAUUUUAAUGGUAAUGCACUAUUUUUUUCCAUUAGUUGUCACUGAGUUAAUGUAUAUAAAUAAAUAUAGAAAAAGUGAGCUCUCCACAUCAUGCACUUCUCACAAUGGCAAACUCGACUUAAAAAUUUCUUAAAAAUUCUUUUAGGGGACACAGCACAUAUAACUAUCACUGUCCAUAAUUAAUUACUUUCACUCUUUCUCUUUCAUAGAAUUAGCAUUUUUCAUUGGUUGAAUGCCAAGUAGUUGUGCUGAAAAUUAAAAUUGAUUAGAAAAGAGGAUAAAAUAUUUGACAGCCAUGCAGCUGUCAAAUCUGAAAAUCUAGUGGAAAGUAUUGUACAAUUCCUGCAUAUAAAAGAAAUAAAUAAAAGAAUGUUUGCAUUGUUUGUUUGCAUUGUCAUCUUUACUGCUAUACAGAUGAACAGACAGUAUUUCAAUUAUAAAUCCAUUUCAACAACAAUAGCUAUUCAUUUUUGCUCAUUAAAAUAAAAAAGCCUAAAUAACAUAUGAUGUGACACUUGGAUUUUUCUAUAAUUGCAUAUUUAUUCAUGAGGGACAAUGCAUAUGCCAGAUGUACAAAAUAAUAGGACUUUUUUUGCAUGGUUUUGAAAAAAUAUUUCUAGAAAUAUAAUGCAUGCCUAUGUGUGUUUUUGUUUGUCACCUGUGUGAGUAUAAAUACAGCAUGUGUGAGGGUAUUCUAGACACAUUCAUGUGUGCCUGCUGUCUGUUCAUGUGUUUUCAAGCUAUUGUGGUAAUAGAGCCUUAUAAAUACAGCUUUGAAAGGACAGGUGGCAUAACAGCUGAAAGGUGUUGUUAUAGGAUGUGAACAAACAAGGUGUUCUUCAAGUUGAUACUUAAAAUCAUACUCUAAUGAUCUAAUGUAUUAACUGUUCUGAAAAAGCUG